GGAAGACUUGCACAGGAAUGUUGACAGCAAUUUUAUUCAAAUAGCCAAACACUGGAAAUGACCCAAAUUGUUCAUCCACAGUAAAAAAAAGCAAAUAAAUGAUAGUAUAGUCAUAUAAUGAAAUACUGUAGAGCAACAAAAAAGAACAAGUUACUGAUUAUAUAACUAUAUAAAUGAAUCUCACAGAUAAAAUGUUAAAUGAAAGAAGUCAGACUUUACUUAAAGAGUAUAUAUUUACAUAUGAUAUAUGUUCAUAGAACAGGAUUUCAUUUCCAUGUAUUUGAUGUUUAAAAACAAAAACUUGUCUGCAGCCACAGAAGUCAGAACAGUGGUUAGCUUUGGUGGGAGAAAACCUACCCAGGCGAAGGCACAAUGAAUCAUUCUGGGCCCCUACGCAUGUUCUGUAUCUUGAUCUAAGUGGUAGUUGCAUAGGUUUACACACAUGCAAAAACGUAUUGGGCUGUACACUUAAUAUUUAUAACUUACUUUAGUUAUACCUCAAGAAAAAUAAAUUUAAAGACUGUAGCAACCAAAACAAAAAAUAUCAAGAGAAGUGAAUGAAAGAGCACAGGUCUGGCAAAAGAGGGUAAAUGAAUUAUUUAUUUUCCCAUAAAGCAUUAAUGCCCCCCUUUACAUUUUUAUGCUGGCCAUGUAAUUAUUAAAAUUUUAUAAAAUAAGAUUUUUAAUCACAUAUAUCCCCACUUAUAACUCAACCCUAAAAUGUGAACUGUUUUUAUUUAUUCAUAUUCCCUUGCGUAUCCUUUUCCAUUGAUCUGUAUACAACAUUAUAUAAGAAGUCAUCCUGGACACAAAUUCUAUAUAGAAGAAAUCAGGAUUUGCAAUCGGAGAAUCUAAUUUGAAUCCUUGCUGGGCUAUUUAUUAGUUGUGUGAUCUCAGCCAAAUUACCUAAUCUCUCUAAAUCACAGUUUGCUCACUUAUAAAAGGGAAGAAAAAUGUUCUCUACCUCACAGAAUUGUUGUGAGAAUUAAAUUAGAUAAUGUGUAUUUAUAAACACUGCUCAAAUUAUUGGUAAUUUACAUUAAUUUUGGUGAUCGCAGUGUGGAUACAAUUCUUCAUUCUGCUCUUCUCAUUUCCUCUAUAAUUAGCAUUUCCACAAUAGUACAUAAUCUACAUAGUGGCCUACCUAAUUUCCAUUCCCUCCUCAUUUUACCAACAGGAACUCAGUUUUAUUUGAGAUUGGCACUUUGCCCAGCCUAGUGAUAAAUCAUGAUUGAUCUACACCAAUGAUGGCAAAUCUGUUUCCUACUUUCCCAGCCUUCCUUGCAGCAGGGCGUGGGGUCAUGUGACUAAAUUCUGGCACUGAAACCUAAGGGGAAAUGCACUGGGGGAGAAAGAGGUGCUUCUGAUAAAGGCAUUCCUUUUACUGGCAAAAGGAACAAACCAUGCUGUCCCUCCCUUUCUCCCACUUCUUUCUGUCUUAAACCCAGAUGCACCAUUUAGAACUGUGGAAGCCAUCUUGUGUAUGCAAGAGAAAUGCUUAAGAAUUUCAGAGACAUCAGCCCUUGAUGCACCUGUGGCCACCUACCUCUGGACUUGUUAUGUCAGAAAAAUAAAUUCAAGUUUCUAGAAGCCAUUGUUAAGGUUUCUGUUACUGCAGUUGAAAACAUUCUAAACUAAUA
rnacentral:lncRNA from 1 species